AAAAAGCCGGGAGGAAAGAACACGAGAGAACACAGGGAUUGCCCCAGUAACGGCGAGUGAAGCGGCAACAGCUCAAAUUUGAAAUCUGGCUCUCGGGCCCGAGUUGUAAUUUGUAGAGGAUGCUUUUGGUGAGGUGCCUUCCGAGUUCCCUGGAACGGGACGCCAUAGAGGGUGAGAGCCCCGUCUGGUUGGACGCCGAACCUCUGUAAAGCUCCUUCGACGAGUCGAGUAGUUUGGGAAUGCUGCUCUAAAUGGGAGGUAUAUGUCUUCUAAAGCUAAAUACCGGCCAGAGACCGAUAGCGCACAAGUAGAGUGAUCGAAAGAUGAAAAGAACUUUGAAAAGAGAGUUAAACAGUACGUGAAAUUGUUGAAAGGGAAGCGCUUGUGACCAGACUUGGGCUUGGUUGAUCAUCCGGGGUUCUCCCCGGUGCACUCUUCCGGCUCAGGCCAGCAUCAGUUCGCCCUGGGGGAUAAAGGCAUCGGGAACGUGGCUCUCUCCGGGGAGUGUUAUAGCCCGUUGCGUAAUACCCUGUGGCGGACUGAGGUUCGCGCAUUCGCAAGGAUGCUGGCGUAAUGGUCAUCAGUGACCCGUCUUGAAACACGGACCAAGGAGUCGUCUUCGUAUGCGAGUGUUCGGGUGUCAAACCCCUACGCGAAAUGAAAGUGAACGCAGGUGAGAGCUUCGGCGCAUCAUCGACCGAUCCUGAUGUUAUCGGAUGGAUUUGAGUAAGAGCAUACGGGGCCGGACCCGAAAGAAGGUGAACUAUGCCUGUGUAGGGUGAAGCCAGAGGAAACUCUGGUGGAGGCUCGCAGCGGUUCUGACGUGCAAAUCGAUCGUCAAACAUGGGCAUGGGGGCGAAAGACUAAUCGAACCUUCUAGUAGCUGGUUUCCGCCGAAGUU
rnacentral:rRNA from 1 species